rnacentral:rRNA from 1 species
GUGGCGGACGGGUGAGUAAUGCUUGGAAAUCUGGCUUAUGGAGGGGGAUAACUACGGGAAACUGUAGCUAAUAACCCUUACCAUAGGAUGAGCCCAAGUUGGAUUAUGUAGGUGUUGUGGUAAAGGCUCACCAAGCCGCAGAUCUCUCGCUGGUCUGAGAGGAUGACCAGCCAUACUUGGAUCGUGCCUCUGCUCGUGCUCCUACGUGCGUCAGCAGUGGGGAAGAUUGCGCAAUGGGCGCAACAUGACGGAGCCAGGCCGCGUGAAUGAAGAAGGCCAUCGUGUUGUAAAGUUCUGUCGGUAGGGAGGCGUUAACGACAGAAGAAGCACCGGCUAACUCCGUGCCAGCAGCCGCGGUAAUUC